UCCGUAGGGGGCGAGCGUUGUCCGGAUUUAUUGGGCGUAAAGAGCUCGUAGGCGGUUCGAUAAGUCGGACGUGAAAUCUCCACGCUCAACGUGGAGGGGCCGUUCGAUACUGUCGUGACUCGAGUCCGGUAGGGGAGUGUGGAAUUCCCGGUGUAGCGGUGAAAUGCGCAGAUAUUAGGAAGAACACCAGUGGCGAAGGCGGCUCACUGGCUCGGUACUGACGCUGAGGCGCGAAAGCGUGGGGAGCAAACAGG
rnacentral:rRNA from 1 species